CUCGGCGCGGGCCCGGGAAGGGCUCUAGGCCCGGCCGUGCGCAGCGUCCGGGCGGCCUUCGGGGGGACCUCGCCAAACGAAUAGAAAAAAAAGAAAACAAAGUAGCAACCCCCCGUUAAAUGCGCCUGAUAAGUCCCACGUGCGAAGCUGCGCUCUGAAGCGGGAGUGUAAGCGAAUAAUCGUCCGUUGUGGAAGAGGCCUCACACUCCUACCUCACCUAGGGCAAGUCUGUCGCCCAGCAGCUGGUUUGCAGAAGGAUGUAGGAGUGAGCUGCUGGCUAGCUGCAUCAUACCUCGCUGCUCUCCCCAUCAGGACAAGGAAGUCUGGGGUUUAAAGGAGAUCAGUAUCCAUUGCUAAUUGCAUCUCUCUAGCACAMUGCUUUCCUUCUGAGCACGGGUUGGAAGAUGCAGCGUGAGCAUUGGCACGGCACGUUCC